CCUGUAAUGAGUUGAUCCAUUCCUACCAAAAACAAUGGUCCAUCAUUGAUGACAAAAGACCAUAACUAUGUCCCACUGCAGACUGCCUUUUUUGCCAUAAACCUCAGAUGCUAUAAUAAAUGUAGCAUACAUUUUAGACAAAGUUGGUUAUUUUUCAACCUAUAUCAGACUGUCGUAGAUUUGAGAUGGGUGAGUUAACUGCAAUAGGACUGACUUACCUUAAUGGAUACCAGACGGGAAAUUUUCUCCAUUCGGUACAAUGCAAGCCAUUCACUAACUAAUUGACUUUUGUCAAUAGUAAAGAGCAGGAUCGAGUGUAUAAAAAAACUGAACAAAAUUGAGACAAUUGUAAUGAAAUGUUUAUAUCAGUUUAAG